rnacentral:rRNA from 1 species
UACGAAGGGGGCUAGCGUUGUCCGGAAUCAUUGGGCGUAAAGAGCGUGUAGGCGGCCCGGUAAGUCCGCUGUGAAAGUCGGGGGCUCAACCCUCGAAUGCCGGUGGAAACUGUCGGGCUGGAGUCCGGAAGAGGCGAGUGGAAUUCCUGGUGUAGCGGUGAAAUGCGCAGAUAUCAGGAGGAACACCAAUGGCGAAGGCAGCUCGCUGGGACGGUACUGACGCUGAGACGCGAAAGCGUGGGGAGCAAACAGG